GACGAACGCUGGCGGCGUGCCUAAUACAUGCAAGUCGAACGCUUAAGGAGGACCUUGCUCUUCUGUAUGAGUUGCGCACGUGUGUGUAACGCGUAGGUAUCCUGCCUGGUAGCGGGGGAUAACUAUUGGAAACGAUUGCUACUACCUCAUAAGAGUAGAUGUUGCAUGACAUUCACUUAACCGGUGCAUUUGCAUUACUACUAGAUGGACCUGCGUUGUUUUAGCUAGUUGGUGGGGUAACGGCUUACCAAGGCGACGAUACAUAGCCGACCUGGGAAGGUGGACGGGCACACUGGGAACGAGAAAAGGGCCAGACUCCUACGGGAAGGAGCAAGAGGGAAUCUUCGGCAAUAGAGGGAAGGCUGAACGAAGAACGGCGGGGGAGGGAAGGAGGGUUUCGGAUCGGAAAGCUCUGUUGUAAGAGAAGAAAGAGUGGGAGAGUGGAAAGUUCACGCUGUGACGGUAUCUUACCAGAAAGCGACGGCUAACUACGUG
rnacentral:rRNA from 1 species